rnacentral:rRNA from 1 species
UACGUAGGGGGCUAGCGUUGUCCGGAAUUAUUGGGCGUAAAGAGCUCGUAGGCGGUUUGUUGCGUCGGCUGUGAAAUCCCGAGGCUCAACCUCGGGUCUGCAGUCGAUACGAGCAAACUAGAGUGUUGCAGGGGAGACUGGAAUUCCUGGUGUAGCGGUGAAAUGCGUUGAUAUCAUCAGGAACACCGGUGGCGAAGGCGGCUCACUGGGUCUCAACUGACGCUGAGGUACGAAAGCCAGGGUAGCGAACGGG